GAUGAACGCUAGCUACAGGCUUAACACAUGCAAGUCGAGGGACCGGCGCACGGGUGAGUAACACGUAUCCAACCUGCCCUUUACUCGGGGAUAGCCGUUCGAAAGAAAGAUUAAUACCUGAUAGAAUGGAUGGGUAUGGGUUUCAUUAGUUGGUUGGUGAGGUAACGGCUCACCAAGCCUUCGCUGGCUAGCGGAUGUGAGAGGAAGGUCCCCUAGAUUGGAGCUAAGACACAGACCCAACCCGUACGGGAGGGAGCAGUGAGGAAUAUUGGUCAAUGGGCGCUAGCCUGAACCAGCCGAGUAGCGUGAAGGAUGAAGGCUUAUGGGUCGUAAACUUCUUGUAUAUAAGAAGAUGUAUUAUAUGAAUAAGGAUCGGCUAACUCCGUGCCAGCAGCCGCGGUAAUAC
rnacentral:rRNA from 1 species